AUCUUCUUCCCCAACGCCAACUGCCCCUUCCGAGUGGAAUUAGUCCCUUCAAUCUCCCGGAUAACGCUUCCCUUUGCUGUCUCUUCCUUUCGCCUAUCUUGAUUUUUGCCCGAUGUCAAUGCCCUGCUUUGUUCUUCCAUUGACUACUCUGCCAUCAUGGUCCUUUUACUCCACCAAACGACAACAUGCCCGACUUGUCCCGUGAGCCUCACGAUGUGCCCUAACCACCGACUUACUUCCAUUGCCCAGUGAUCAGGCCCUAAGAUGGAGACAGGCUAAGAUGCUUCAAUCAACACAGUUAGCCACUUUCACUUCCCCAAGCAGCAGUACUUUUGUUGCAAUACUUGGUCGUCAAUAUAAUGAUAAUGGAGGUUCUUGAAGCUGCUAAAGAUAUGUGAAUGGAUAGUCUACUGGUCCAAUUAACAAGAAAGCCAUAGCUAUGUUAUUCGAGCUUUGAUUAUGAUAUAUACCUUAGGGGGAGCUAUCAUUGUAUGAUACCAAGGCAAUAAGCUUCAGUUAAUCUUUCAAAGUGCCUUCAUCACCGUCCUUCCCAUUGGUUGUUGCCUUCUUCUUCUUUUUUUCCCCCCCUGUGUAUCUUCGAAGUGUUUUUGCAAGAGUAUUCACCUUUCCUUUGCUUAAGACAUGAAGAUAAGUGUGAUUAAGACCAUGGAUGAUUCCACCUCACCCCUAUAAAUGUACACUUUUUUUUAUUUGUCCAGUGUCUGUCGCUCAGAUUUUUUUUUCUCCUUUAUGCUCUUGUUAAUUUAAUUACUAGAAAGUUCAUCCGAGAGCUAGAAGAACAGCUUAUUGAAGACCAGGAUAAAUUAAGUGUCAUAGAAACUUUA